UACGUAGGUGGCGAGCGUUAUCCGGAAUUAUUGGGCGUAGAGAGCGCGCAGGUGGUUGAUUAAGUCUGAUGUGAAAGCCCACGGCUUAACCGUGGAGGGUCAUUGGAAACUGGUCGACUUGAGUGCAGAAGAGGGAAGUGGAAUUCCAUGUGUAGCGGUGAAAUGCGUAGAGAUAUGGAGGAACACCAGUGGCGAAGGCGGCUUCCUGGUCUGUAACUGACACUGAGGCGCGAAAGCGUGGGGAGCAAACAGGAUUAGA
rnacentral:rRNA from 1 species